UAGGUAAAGUCGUAACAAGGUAACCGUAAGUCGUAACAAGGUAACCGUAGAGUUUGAUCAUGGCUCAGGUAGAGAAAUGCCGCCAGCACGACGACCAGCACGAACAAAAGUCGUAACAAGGUAACCGUAAGUCGUAACAAGGUAACCGUAGAGUUUGAUCAUGGCUCAGGCUUUGACUUAAAAAAGUGGACAAGUCGUAAUAAGGGGACCGUAAGUCGUAACAUGGUAGCCGUAGAGUUUGAUCCUGGCUCACGAAAGUCGUAACCAAA
rnacentral:rRNA from 1 species